GCAGGAACCGUCGAAUUCCCCCCAGACUGAUAUACGUGGAUUUUUAAUAGAUCCCCAGCCGAACAGAGAUGCCGUGGGAUGUGAUAAAAACUCUACCGUGAGGAUAACAAACUUGAAUCCACCAGCAGUCACAGGCUGGCAAAGCAUCCUGGGAGCUAAGGUUCUGGAGGCUUCCUGCUAAGCAGCCUGGGAGUUGAAGUUCUGGGGGGUACCUGCUGAGUCUGUAACAGGAAGCUGUGGCUAUAAGUGUCUCAGUCCUGGCCGCCACAUGUUGCUAUGGAGCAGAGAUAAUGUGGAGAUAUGUCAGUGAAACGGGAGAGUUUGGGCAUAUCAUUACCUCGACUCGGAUUACUGCAGUCUAACGCACUCUCUUCGCUUUGUAAUUUUACAUAAUGUAUGGGAGAGGUCAGGGGGUCAGCGAGACGAGCAGAUUUCCUCCCUAUUCAAAACCAGUGCAUUUCCACAGCAAGAACUCUACAUAUUAUUAAUGUAUACCAACCCUCUCUAUUACU